AACGAACGCUGGCGGCAGGCCUAACACAUGCAAGUCGAGCGGACCCUUCGGGGUUAGCGGCGGACGGGUGAGUAACGCGUGGGAAUAUGCCCUUCUCUACGGAAUAGUCCUGGGAAACUGGGGGUAAUACCGUAUACGCCCUGUGGGGGAAAGAUUUAUCGGGGAAGGAUUAGCCCGCGUUGGAUUAGGUAGUUGGUGGGGUAAUGGCCUACCAAGCGGACGAUCCAUAGCUGGUUUGAGAGGAUGAUCAGCCACACUGGGACUGAGACACGGCCCAGACUCCUACGGGAAGCAGCAGUGGGGAAUCUUAGACAAUGGGGGCAACCCUGAUCUAGCCAUGCCGCGUGAGUGAUGAAGGCCUUAGGGUAGUAAAGCUCUUUCAGCUGGGAAGAUAAUGACGGUACCAGCAGAAGAAGCCCCGGCUAACUCCGUG
rnacentral:rRNA from 1 species